UUGUCCCCAAAUCACAUGUCAUAGGGAAUAUUUAUAGUAAAGACAUGAUGAUGUCUUAAAAUGACGGAAUGGAAUCUCAAAUGUAAGAAAACAUUCUGUUGCAAUAGUAUUACUCAGGCAAUGCAUAUGAAUGAAAUUUACAAAAUUCAUGGAGAUAUCAAGUAACCGUCGUCGUCGCCGAUGAGUCGGGGCUGCUACGCAUCAGCCGUUGGCUGGAGAAAACUGCCACGCCACAUGCCUGAAGGCGUCAUUGCGCUUGUACUCCGAGAUAGGCGCGCCAUGGCUUAUAAGACCAUCAUCGUGUGUCGGCUGUUUGUUGUUGGUGUUGGACGCGGACAUCGCUACGCCGCAUGCCUGAAGAAACCGUGUUGUGUGCCGCACACAGGAGCGAUGUUGUACAAAAACGUGAAGUCGCUUCGAUCCUAAGAGUCGCGUUCUUCUUCUUGCCGUGGUUGAAGCUGUUACCGCUGAUGGGAUCGCACAUCACCGUUUUAUUUUAUUUUAUUCGGAAUGCUUGCUGAUUUAGGAAAAAACACAAUCGGUCAAUGAAUCAGUGAUGAUAAUCAUAAAUAGACAGUCAAGUUGGCUUUCUCCCGAUGGAUUUCUUAAAUGCAUACGUCAAUGCAUGCUCGUCUUUCCCAUGGAUGGUGUGCUAGAGCAGGCCGAUGGCCAGGAGCAGGCUGCGUGCCGAUUGUGAAUCGGGACAUGGGAGAGGCCUAGAGGGCCACGCCUGGUUGUCUUGUCUGCCUCGGUUAUCACGAGGGUGAGUGCGCCACGCUGAAGGCUGCAUCGCCGCGGUGGUUCGUGCCGAGGACGCAGCGGUGCGACGAAGAUCGAAGCUGUGAGCCGCUGUUGCGCUGUCGUCGGGUGUGGAAGUCUGGCGUCGCUACCUCCGUUGCAAGACAUAAUUCGCAUAUGGUCUUCUCUGUUUUAGCCUAUAUCUCUAAUGGAGAGCAAAUUGCAUGAUAACGUGUUUGGAGUAAAAAGUAAAGAACGAGAGAGAUGAAUGAAAG
rnacentral:lncRNA from 1 species